rnacentral:rRNA from 1 species
GAGUCCGGGCUCCCCGCGAGCCCUCACUCCCACCCNNNUCUACCGUUACCGCGUUGCUUUGGCGGGCCCACUGGAGCCUGUCGGCCUGGUCGCCGGGGGGCUGUUGCCCCCGGGCCCGCGCCCGCCGAAGCGCCCUUGAACCCUGCGUGAAUAGUGAGUCUGAGUCUCGAUUGAAUCGUUAAAACUUUCAACAACGGAUCUCUUGGUUCCGGCAUCGAUGAAGAACGCAGCGAAAUGCGAUAAGUAAUGUGAAUUGCAGAAUUCCGUGAAUCAUCGAAUCUUUGAACGCACAUUGCGCCCUCUGGCAUUCCGGAGGGCAUGCCUGUCCGAGCGUCAUUUCUGCCCUCCAGCACGGCUGGGUGUUGGGCGCUGUCCCCCCGGGGACACGCCCCAAAGGCAGUGGCGACGCCGCGUCGAGUCCUCGAGCGUAUGGAGCUUUGGUCACCUGCUCGGGAGGGAUUCGCCGGCUUCGGUCUUCCCCGAUGGGCCCUGUACAGGGCCGAUCUUUUCGGUUGACCUCGGAUCAGGUAGGGCUACCCGCUGAACUUAAGCAUAUCAAUAAGCGGAGGAAAAGAAACCAACAGGGAUUGCCUCAGUAACGGCGAGUGAAGCGGCAAGAGCUCAAAUUUUGAAAUCUGGCCCCCUUGGGGGUCCGAGUUGUAAUUUGGAGAGGAUGCUUCGGGAGUGGCCCCCAUCUAAGUGCCCUGGAACGGGCCGUCAUAGAGGGUGAGAAUCCCGUCUGGGAUGGGUGGCCUCGCCCGUGUGAAGCUCCUUCGAAGAGUCGAGUUGUUUGGGAAUGCAGCUCUAAGAGGGUGGUAAAUUUCAUCUAAAGCUAAAUAUUGGCCGGAGACCGAUAGCGCACAAGUAGAGUGAUCGAAAGAUGAAAAGCACUUUGAAAAGAGAGUUAAACAGCACGUGAAAUUGUUGAAAGGGAAGCGUUGUCCCCCAGACGCGCCCGGGAGGGUUCAGCCGGCACUUGUGCCGGUGCACUCCUUCCUGGGUGGGCCAGCGUCGGUUUGGGCGGCCGGUCAAAGGCCCUGGGAAUGUAGCUCCCUCCGGGGAGCCUUAUAGCCCAGGGUGCC